rnacentral:rRNA from 1 species
GAUGAACGCUGGCGGCGUGCUUAACACAUGCAAGUCGAACGAAGCAUUUAAGACAGAUUACUUCGGUUUGAAGUCUUUUAUGACUGAGUGGCGGACGGGUGAGUAACGCGUGGGUAACCUGCCUCAUACAGGGGGAUAGCAGCUGGAAACGGCUGGUAAUACCGCAUAAGCGCACAGUACCACAUGGUACAGUGUGAAAAACUCCGGUGGUAUGAGAUGGACCCGCGUCUGAUUAGCUUGUUGGCGGGGUAACGGCCCACCAAGGCGACGAUCAGUAGCCGACCUGAGAGGGUGACCGGCCACAUUGGGACUGAGACACAGCCCAGACUCCUACGGGAGGCAGCAGUGGGGAAUAUUGCACAAUGGAGGAAACUCUGAUGCAGCGACGCCGCGUGAGUGAAGAAGUAGUUCGCUAUGUAAAGCUCUAUCAGCAGGGAAGAUAGUGACGGUACCUGACUAAGAAGCUCCGGCUAAAUACGUG